rnacentral:tRNA from 1 species
CGGCUCGUAGCUCAGUUGGUAGAGCACAUGACUCUUAAUCAUGGGGUCGAGGGUUCGAUCCCCUCCGAGCCGACAA